UACAGAGGUGGCAAGCGUUGUUCGGAAUUACUGGGCGUAAAGGGCGAGUAGGUGGCCAUCUAAGUCAGACGUGGAGUCCCCCGGCUUAACCUGGGAACUGCGUCUGAUACUGGACGGCUUGAGUAUGGGAGAGGAACGUAGAAUUCCAGGUGUAGCGGUGAAAUGCGUAGAUAUCUGGAGGAACACCGAUGGCGAAGGCAACCGCCUGGGCCUGUACUGACGCUGAGACACGAAAGCGUGGGGAGCAAACAGG
rnacentral:rRNA from 1 species